ensembl:ncRNA K02D7.7 ncRNA
CCAUUAUCACACCUGUUGGUUUGAUUUCGGCCGACAGGUGCCCCCUUGCCAAGGAGGCUCGUUGGUGUUGAUAUGAGAGAUGUUGCACGGGCGGGAAGUCAG